UGGGAAACAGGUAGAAGACAAACUCCUAUUAUCAGGGGUUCAUGAAGCCCAUGGCAUCAUUUUUUUUUUUUUAAACAUCUAAUUUUGUGGCCAAAGCAACUGGUCAAGAAAACAUGAAUUCAUGAGUCACACCUUCAUUUUGGACUCAUCUCUUAGUGGGUAUAGGCUUGUGUCCGUCUUAUUAAUUUCUGUCUCAUUUAUGCAAGAGCAGCUGUAGGCAUUUCUGGAUGAGGUUUUAAAUGUAAUUUGGAAAUCCUAGAGUGAUUUUUAAAAAUAGAAUAAAAUUGAUUGAGAUCAAAAUCCAUUAUUCUAAAAGGGAUUAUUGGAAGUAAAAUGGUGAAGAGUAUCCUAAAGAAAGACACUGCAAAAUACAGGAGGAAACCGUUCCUAACAGAUACAAGAAUACUAACAAGAUAAAGACAACUGGAAAGGUGAAUGAGACAUGUGUCCCUAAGGGUGGCUCUAGGAUGUAAUUAGCUGCUGAGGUUGGUGACAAGGAAGCAGAACAUGGAACGCAGAACGUAGGAACCACGGCGUUUCUAACAGAGAAGGCGACUGGAGCACCUGUUAAUUGUAUCUACCCUACGUCUUUGCAAAUACUUUGACUGUAAAACGUAUUUUCAUUAAAAUGGUAUUCUGAAUUUUGUUAUGGGGCAGCUUAAAUUUAUUUUUUUCUUGAAUGUAGACAGUUGAUAAUAACCCGUGUUCUACCUUUGUGUCACCAGAUUAAUGACACUGUAAUCCUUGCUGAGGAUUCAUGCCACCUGAUGCUUUCAUACUCAUUUCUUAUGAGUAGUUUAUACCAUUUGGUUUGAGAUGGGUCUGGGCUUGUUUGGUGGACUUAACGAAGGCCAUAUUCAAUUUUAUAUAAACUAUCAUGCAAGCCCGGCCAAAGUGUAGUUUUUGAUUGAGUCCCUUCCUUGAGGUUAGGAGUAAAUACGGUAAGUCUUAAAAAGGGAUGUCACUGACAUCCCUUUUUAAAUUAGGUCGUGAUUGAGAGAGCCGAAAACCUCCACUGACCUUUCCCCUCUUCGUUUUUCUUAAUAUGUUUGACUGCAGUUAUGGAGAAAGAAACGUGAAAAGAGUACUUUUGGAUUAUCUGCUUAAAUUUAUGUAUUUUCAUAUCACUCAGGUAAAGUUGUGAAUGACAGAGCACAGACAUCUAUUUUUUAAAUCAGAGUAGAAAAUAAAAAGCACUUCUGUUAACUUAUAUUGCCAUAUAUGCACAUCAUCUUAGCUAAUCAGAAAUAGUGUGUUCAUUUGUGUGGCAAAAUAAAUGCAUUCAUUCUAAUAGUAGUCAACACAUUUUUGCCAGAUGGCACAAAUAUACCUCCAUUUAUAUUUUGUUUCUCAAAAAUGUAGUUUAACAAUAGGACUGUGUAUAAGAGACACUUUUAUGAAAAGUGUCAUAUAUACAUACGUAACAGGGAUGAGUGUAUGUUGAACAAUUUCUGUCAGUACACCAUAUGCUGGAAAUUCCAAGUUGUUUGCAACCCAUUCAGAUACAUUCAGGAUAAAAUAAGUUAAUCCAAUUUCAUAAUGUAAAUCAUAUUUUGUUAUUUGCCAUAGUUUAUUUGAAGCCGUAAUAAACUUUUAUAACUCAGAUUUGAAUGUCAUAGUGCAUUAUGUGGUAAUCAUGGCAAGCAAACAUUGACAUUUGUUUUUUUACAAAUAAAUUUCUUUUAAAAUAUACUUUCUAUUUUUCUGUACUGACAUAUGCAAUAAAUUGAUACAUUAAAAGUUUGAUUAAUGUCU
rnacentral:lncRNA from 1 species